UACGUAGGGUGCAAGCGUUACUCGGACUUACUGGGCGUAAAGCGUGCGCAUGCGGCUAUGCAAGACAGAUGUGAAAUUCCCGGGCUCAACCUGGGAACGGCGAUGGAUACUGGGAAGCUAGAAUGUGAGAGAGGAUGGUGGAAUUCCCGGUGUAGCGGUGAAAUGCGUAGAGAUCGGGAGGAACACCAGUGGCGAAGGCGGCCAUCUGGCUCAACAUUGACGCUGAGGCACGAAAGCGUGGGGAGCAAACAGG
rnacentral:rRNA from 1 species